CACAAGCGGUGGAGCAUGUGGUUUAAUUCGAUGCAACGCGAAGAACCUUACCUGGGCUUGACAUCCCGGGAAUCCCUUGGAAACAAGGGAGUGCCCUUCGGGGAACCUGGAGACAGGUGCUGCAUGGCUGUCGUCAGCUCGUGUCGUGAGAUGUUGGGUUAAGUCCCGUAACGAGCGCAACCCUUGUCCUUAGUUACCAGCACGUUAAGGUGGGCACUCUAAGGAGACUGCCGGUGACAAACCGGAGGAAGGUGGGGAUGACGUCAAGCCAUCAUGGCCCUUACGGCCUGGGCUACACACGUGCUACAAUGGUCGGUACAAAGGGUUGCCAAGCCGCGAGGUGGAGCUAAUCCCAUAAAACCGAUCGUAGUCCGGAUCGCAGUCUGCAACUCGACUGCGUGAAGUCGGAAUCGCUAGUAAUCGUGAAUCAGAAUGUCACGGUGAAUACGUUCCCGGGCCUU
rnacentral:rRNA from 1 species